AGUGAACGCUGGCGGCGUGCCUAACACAUGCAAGUCGUGCGCGAAAGGGAGCAAUCCUGAGUAAAGCGGCGAACGGGUGAGUAACACGUGGUUAACCUGCCUGGAUGUGGGGGAUACCCCGGGGAAACUCGGGACAAUACCGCAUGAUGUCUCUCGGGCGUCGGCCCGGGAGAGCAAAGCCGGGGACCGCAAGGCCUGGCGCAUCCGGAGGGGACCGCGGCCGAUUAGCUAGUUGGCGGGGUAAUGGCCCACCAAGGCGACGAUCGGUAGCCGGCCUGAGAGGGUGAUCGGCCACACCGGAACUGAGACACGGUCCGGACUCCUACGGGAGGCAGCAGUGGGGAAUUUUGCGCAAUGGACGAAAGCCUGACGCAGCAACGCCGCGUGGAGGAUGAAGGUGCUCUGCAUUGUAAACUCCUGUCGGCCGGGAAGAAGUCGGCGGGGUGC
rnacentral:rRNA from 1 species